UACGAAGGGGGCUAGCGUUGCUCGGAAUCACUGGGCGUAAAGCGCACGUAGGCGGCUUCUUAAGUCAGGGGUGAAAUCCUGGAGCUCAACUCCAGAACUGCCUUUGAUACUGGGAAGCUCGAGUCCGGGAGAGGUGAGUGGAACUCCGAGUGUAGAGGUGAAAUUCGUAGAUAUUCGGAAGAACACCAGUGGCGAAGGCGGCUCACUGGUCCGGUACUGACGCUGAGGUGCGAAAGCGUGGGGAGCAAACAGG
rnacentral:rRNA from 1 species